rnacentral:rRNA from 1 species
AUGCUUAACACAUGCAAGUCGAACGGAAACGAUGGAAGCUUGCUUCCAGGCGUCGAGUGGCGGACGGGUGAGUAAUGCUUGGGAAUCUGCCUAAUAGUGGGGAACAACUCGGGGAAACUCGGGCUAAUACCGCAUAAUCUCUUCGGAGGAAAGGGGGCCUCUACAUGUAAGCUCUCGCUAAUAGAUGAGCCCAAGUCAGAUUAGCUUGUUGGUAAGGUAACGGCUUACCAAGGCUACGAUCUGUAGCUGGUCUGAGAGGAUGAUCAGCCACACUGGGACUGAGACACGGCCCAGACUCCUACGGGAGGCAGCAGUGGGGAAUAUUGCACAAUGGGCGAAAGCCUGAUGCAGCAAUGCCGCGUGUGUGAAGAAGGCUCUAGGGUUGUAAAGCACUUUCAAUAAGGAAGAAAAGCAUAUGGUUAAUAACCUUAUGUAUUGACGUAACUUAUACAAGAAGCACCGGCUAAUUCCGUGCCAGCAGCCGCGGUAAUACGGAAGGUGCAAGCGUUAAUCGGAAUUACUGGGCGUAAAGCGCGCGUAGGCUGUUAUUUAAGUCGGAUGUGAAAUCCUCGGGCUCAACCUGGGAACUGCAUCCGAAACUGAAUAACUAGAGUAUGGGAGAGGUAAGUAGAAUUUCCGGUGUAGCGGUGAAAUGCGUAGAUAUCGGAAGGAAUACCAGUGGCGAAGGCGGCUUACUGGACCAAUACUGACGCUGAGGUGCGAAAGCGUGGGGAGCGAACAGGAUUAGAUACCCUGGUAGUCCACGCCGUAAACGAUGAGAACUAGAUGUUGGGAGGAUUAGCCUCUCAGUGUCGCAGCUAACGCAUUAAGUUCUCCGCCUGGGGAGUACGACC